GACGAACGCUGGCGGCGUGCUUAACACAUGCAAGUCGAACGGAAAGGCCCUGCUUUUGUGGGGUGCUCGAGUGGCGAACGGGUGAGUAACACGUGAGUAACCUGCCCUUGACUUUGGGAUAACUUCAGGAAACUGGGGCUAAUACCGGAUAGGAGCUCCUGCUGCAUGGUGGGGGUUGGAAAGUUUCGGCGGUUGGGGAUGGACUCGCGGCUUAUCAGCUUGUUGGUGGGGUAGUGGCUUACCAAGGCUUUGACGGGUAGCCGGCCUGAGAGGGUGACCGGCCACAUUGGGACUGAGAUACGGCCCAGACUGCUACGGGGGGCAGCAGUGGGGAAUAUUGCACAAUGGGCGGAAGCCUGAUGCAGCGACGCCGCGUGCGGGAUGACGGCCUUCGGGUUGUAAACCGCUUUCGCCUGUGACGAAGCGUGAGUGACGGUAAUGGGUAAAGAAGCACCGGCUAACUACGUG
rnacentral:rRNA from 1 species